rnacentral:rRNA from 1 species
GGUUAAGCGACUAAGCGUACACGGUGGAUGCCCUGGCAGUCAGAGGCGAUGAAGGACGUGCUAAUCUGCGAUAAGCGUCGGUAAGGUGAUAUGAACCGUUAUAACCGGCGAUUUCCGAAUGGGGAAACCCAGUGUGAUUCGUCACACUAUCAUUAACUGAAUCCAUAGGUUAAUGAGGCGAACCGGGGGAACUGAAACAUCUAAGUACCCCGAGGAAAAGAAAUCAACCGAGAUUCCCCCAGUAGCGGCGAGCGAACGGGGAGGAGCCCAGAGCCUGAAUCAGUGUGUGUGUUAGUGGAAGCGUCUGGAAAGGCGCGCGAUACAGGGUGACAGCCCCGUACACAAAAAUGCACAUAUUGUGAGCUCGAUGAGUAGGGCGGGACACGUGGUAUCCUGUCUGAAUAUGGGGGGACCAUCCUCCAAGGCUAAAUACUCCUGACUGACCGAUAGUGAACCAGUACCGUGAGGGAAAGGCGAAAAGAACCCCGGCGAGGGGAGUGAAAAAGAACCUGAAACCGUGUACGUACAAGCAGUGGGAGCACGCUUAGGCGUGUGACUGCGUACCUUUUGUAUAAUGGGUCAGCGACUUAUAUUCUGUAGCAAGGUUAACCGAAUAGGGGAGCCGAAGGGAAACCGAGUCUUAACUGGGCGUUAAGUUGCAGGGUAUAGACCCGAAACCCGGUGAUCUAGCCAUGGGCAGGUUGAAGGUUGGGUAACACUAACUGGAGGACCGAACCGACUAAUGUUGAAAAAUUAGCGGAUGACUUGUGGCUGGGGGUGAAAGGCCAAUCAAACCGGGAGAUAGCUGGUUCUCCCCGAAAGCUAUUUAGGUAGCGCCUCGUGAAUUCAUCUCCGGGGGUAGAGCACUGUUUCGGCAAGGGGGUCAUCCCGACUUACCAACCCGAUGCAAACUGCGAAUACCGGAGAAUGUUAUCACGGGAGACACACGGCGGGUGCUAACGUCCGUCGUGAAGAGGGAAACAACCCAGACCGCCAGCUAAGGUCCCAAAGUCAUGGUUAAGUGGGAAACGAUGUGGGAAGGCCCAGACAGCCAGGAUGUUGGCUUAGAAGCAGCCAUCAUUUAAAGAAAGCGUAAUAGCUCACUGGUCGAGUCGGCCUGCGCGGAAGAUGUAACGGGGCUAAACCAUGCACCGAAGCUGCGGCAGCGACGCUGAUGCGUUGUUGGGUAGGGGAGCGUUCUGUAAGCCUGUGAAGGUGUGCUGUGAGGCAUGCUGGAGGUAUCAGAAGUGCGAAUGCUGACAUAAGUAACGAUAAAGCGGGUGAAAAGCCCGCUCGCCGGAAGACCAAGGGUUCCUGUCCAACGUUAAUCGGGGCAGGGUGAGUCGACCCCUAAGGCGAGGCCGAAAGGCGUAGUCGAUGGGAAACAGGUUAAUAUUCCUGUACUUGGUGUUACUGCGAAGGGGGGACGGAGAAGGCUAUGUUGGCCGGGCGACGGUUGUCCCGGUUUAAGCGUGUAGGCUGGUUUUCCAGGCAAAUCCGGAAAAUCAAGGCUGAGGCGUGAUGACGAGGCACUACGGUGCUGAAGCAACAAAUGCCCUGCUUCCAGGAAAAGCCUCUAAGCAUCAGGUAACAUCAAAUCGUACCCCAAACCGACACAGGUGGUCAGGUAGAGAAUACCAAGGCGCUUGAGAGAACUCGGGUGAAGGAACUAGGCAAAAUGGUGCCGUAACUUCGGGAGAAGGCACGCUGAUAUGUAGGUGAAGCGACUUGCUCGUGGAGCUGAAAUCAGUCGAAGAUACCAGCUGGCUGCAACUGUUUAUUAAAAACACAGCACUGUGCAAACACGAAAGUGGACGUAUACGGUGUGACGCCUGCCCGGUGCCGGAAGGUUAAUUGAUGGGGUUAGCGCAAGCGAAGCUCUUGAUCGAAGCCCCGGUAAACGGCGGCCGUAACUAUAACGGUCCUAAGGUAGCGAAAUUCCUUGUCGGGUAAGUUCCGACCUGCACGAAUGGCGUAAUGAUGGCCAGGCUGUCUCCACCCGAGACUCAGUGAAAUUGAACUCGCUGUGAAGAUGCAGUGUACCCGCGGCAAGACGGAAAGACCCCGUGAACCUUUACUAUAGCUUGACACUGAACAUUGAGCCUUGAUGUGUAGGAUAGGUGGGAGGCUUUGAAGUGUGGACGCCAGUCUGCAUGGAGCCGACCUUGAAAUACCACCCUUUAAUGUUUGAUGUUCUAACGUUGACCCGUGAUCCGGGUUGCGGACAGUGUCUGGUGGGUAGUUUGACUGGGGCGGUCUCCUCCUAAAGAGUAACGGAGGAGCACGAAGGUUGGCUAAUCCUGGUCGGACAUCAGGAGGUUAGUGCAAUGGCAUAAGCCAGCUUGACUGCGAGCGUGACGGCGCGAGCAGGUGCGAAAGCAGGUCAUAGUGAUCCGGUGGUUCUGAAUGGAAGGGCCAUCGCUCAACGGAUAAAAGGUACUCCGGGGAUAACAGGCUGAUACCGCCCAAGAGUUCAUAUCGACGGCGGUGUUUGGCACCUCGAUGUCGGCUCAUCACAUCCUGGGGCUGAAGUAGGUCCCAAGGGUAUGGCUGUUCGCCAUUUAAAGUGGUACGCGAGCUGGGUUUAGAACGUCGUGAGACAGUUCGGUCCCUAUCUGCCGUGGGCGCUGGAGAACUGAGGGGGGCUGCUCCUAGUACGAGAGGACCGGAGUGGACGCAUCACUGGUGUUCGGGUUGUCAUGCCAAUGGCACUGCCCGGUAGCUAAAUGCGGAAGAGAUAAGUGCUGAAAGCAUCUAAGCACGAAACUUGCCCCGAGAUGAGUUCUCCCUGACUCCUUGAGAGUCCUGAAGGAACGUUGAAGACGACGACGUUGAUAGGCCGGGUGUGUAAGCGCAGCGAUGCGUUGAGCUAACCGGUACUAAUGAACCGUGAGGCUUAACCUU